UACGUAGGUGACCAGCGUUGUCCGGAUUUACUGGGCGUAAAGAGCGCGCAGGCGGUCGUUCAAGUCGAGUGUGAAAGCCCCCGGCUCAACUGGGGAGGGUCACUCGAUACUGAUCGACUUGAAGGCAGGAGAGGGAAGCGGAAUUCCCGGUGUAGCGGUGAAAUGCGCAGAUAUCAGGAGGAACACCGGUGGCGAAGGCGGUUCUCUGGGCCUGUACUGACGCUGAGGAACGAAAGCGUGGGGAGCGAACAGG
rnacentral:rRNA from 1 species